AUUCCAGCUCCAAUAGCGUAUAUUUAAGUUGUUGCAGUUAAAAAGCUCGUAGUUGGAUUUCGGUUAAGAGCGACCGGUCCGCCGUUUGGUGUGCACUGGUUGGUUUUAACUUCCUGUAGAGGACGUGCUCUGGGCUUAACGGUCUGGACUCGGAGUCUACGUGGUUACUUUGAAAAAAUUAGAGUGUUCAAAGCGGGCUUACGCUUGAAUAUUUCAGCAUGGAAUAACACUAUAGGACUCCUGUCCUAUUUCGUUGGUCUCGGGACGGGAGUAAUGAUUAAGAGGAACAGUUGGGGGCAUUCGUAUUUCAUUGUCAGAGGUGAAAUUCUUGGAUUUAUGAAAGACGAACUUCUGCGAAAGCAUUUGCCAAGGAUGUUUUCAUCG
rnacentral:rRNA from 1 species